rnacentral:rRNA from 1 species
UACGGAGGAUCCAAGCGUUAUCCGGAUUCAUUGGGUUUAAAGGGUGCGUAGGCGGAAUAAUAAGUCAGUGGUGAAAGCCCUCAGCUUAACUGAGGAACUGCCAUUGAUACUGUUAAUCUUGAAUACAUUUGAUGUGGGCGGAAUGUGUCAUGUAGCGGUGAAAUGCUUAGAUAUGACACAGAACACCGAUUGCGAAGGCAGCUCACAAAACUGUUAUUGACGCUGAGGCACGAAAGCGUGGGUAUCAAACAGG